GAUGAACGCUGGCGGCGUGCCUAAUACAUGCAAGUCGAGCGAACAGACGAGGUGCUUGCUCCUCUGACGUUAGCGGCGGACGGGUGAGUAACACGUGGAUAACCUACCUAUAAGACUGGGAUAACUUCGGGAAACCGGAUCUAAUACCGGAUAAUAUAUUGAACCGCAUGGUUCAAUAGUGAAAGACGGUUUUGCUGUCACUUAUAGAUGGAUCCGCGUCGCAUUAGCUAGUUGGUAAGGUAACGGCUUACCAAGGCAACGAUGCGUAGCCGACCUGAGAGGGUGAUCGGCCACACUGGAACUGAGACACGGUCCAGACUCCUACGGGAGGCAGCAGUAGGGAAUCUUGCGCAAUGGGCGAAAGCCUGACGGAGCAACGCCGCGUGAGUGAUGAAGGUCUUCGGAUCGUAAAACUCUGUUAUUAGGGAAGAACAAAUGUGUAAGUAACUAUGCACGUCUUGACGGUACCUAAACAGAAAGCCACGGCUAACUACGUG
rnacentral:rRNA from 1 species